rnacentral:rRNA from 1 species
AUAUUUAAGUCUCAUCUGCCCACUGAUAUAAAAUUAAAGGGCUGCAGUAUAUUGACUGUACAAAGGUAGCAUAAUAAAUAGUCUUUUAAUUGAAGACUUGUAUGAAAGAUUUGAUGAAAUAUGAACUGUCUCUAUAUUAAAAAUUGAAAUUAAUUUUUUUAUUAAAAAGUUAAAAUAAUUUAAAAAGACGAGAAGACCCUAUAGAGUUUUAUAAUUUUAUUUUUUUUUAUUUAAUAUAUAAUAAUAAAUAUAAAAAAGUAUAAUUAUUUUGUUGGGGUGAUAGAAAAAUUAAAAUAACUUUUUUUAAAAAAAAAAUAAAUUACAUGAAUAAAUGAAUAAAUGAUCCAUAUAUUAUGAUUAAAAGAAAAAAUUACCUUAGGGAUAACAGCGUAAUUUUUUUUUUUAGUACAAAUAAGAAAAAAAGGUUGCGACCUCGAUGUUGGAUUAAGAUAAAAUUUAAAUGCAAAAGUUAAAAAUUUGAGUCUGUUCGAUCAUAAAAUCUACA